rnacentral:tRNA from 1 species
GGCAUUGUGGCCGAGUGGUUAAGGCGAUGCACUCGAAAUGCAUUGGGAUUUCCCGCGCAGGUUCGAAUCCUGCUGAUGUCG